rnacentral:rRNA from 1 species
GACGAACGCUGGCGGCGUGGAUUAGGCAUGCAAGUCGAACGGUAUCAUCCUUUCGGGGGUGAGAGAGUGGCGAACUGGUGAGUAACACGUAGGUUAUCUACCCUCAAGACGGGGACAACCCAGGGAAACUUGGGCUAAUACCGGAUGUGAGCAACUUUUAGUUGUUUGAAAGGUGGCGUAAGCUGUCGCUUGGGGAUGAGCCUGCGUCCUAUUAGUUAGUUGGUGAGGUAACGGCUCACCUAGGCAAUGAUAGGUAGGCGGCCUUAACGGGUGGUCGCCCACACUGGGAUUGAGAUACGGCCCAGACUCCUACGGGAGGCAGCAGUCGAGAAUAGUCUACAAUGGUCGGAAGACUGAUAGUGCGACGCCGCGUGAACGAUGAAUCCCUUCGGGGUGUAAAGUUCUUUUAUAUGUGAGCAGUGCUUCUUAUAUUAACAGUAUGGGGAGAGAGAUAUUAGCAUAUGAAUAAGCAAACGGCUAAACUCCGUGCCAGCAGCCGACGGU